GGCGGUGUAGCUUAGUUGGCAAGAGCGUUCGGUUCAUACCCGAAAGGUCGGGGGUUCAAAUCCCUCCGCCGCUACCA
rnacentral:tRNA from 1 species